UACAGAGGUCUCAACCGUUGUUCGGAUUCAUUGGGCGUAAAGGGUGCGUAGGCGGUCGGGUAAGUCGGAUGUGAAAUCCCAGGGCUCAACCCUGGAACUGCAUUCGAUACUGCCUGGCUAGGGUACUGGAGAGGAGACUGGAAUUUACGGUGUAGCAGUGAAAUGCGUAGAUAUCAGGAGGAACACCGGUGGCGAAGGCGGGUCUCUGGGCCGAUACUGACGCUGAGGAGCGAAAGCGUGGGGAGCGAACAGG
rnacentral:rRNA from 1 species